rnacentral:rRNA from 1 species
CCCAUGCAUGUCUAAGUAUAAGCUUCUAUACGGUGAAACUGCGAAUGGCUCAUUAAAACAGUUAUAGUUUAUUUGAUGGUCAUUUUUUACAUGGAUAACCGUGGUAAUUCUAUGGCUAAUACAUGCGCACAUGCUUCUUCCUCUGGAAGUGCAGUGUUUAUUAGAUACAAAACCAGCCCGCCCCUCGGGGUGGCCCCUAGGUGAGUCAUAGUAACCGAACGAAUCGCAUUUCAUGGCUUCGGCCGGCGAUAGAUCAUUCAAGUUUCUGACCUAUCAGCUUUCGACGGUAGGGUAUUGGACUACCGUGGCAGUG